AUGCCUUCUAGGGGAACAGUGUCGCUGGGCUGGGCGGUGGAGAGACACCUUUGGCACCAUCGUGCGAUCUCAUGCACCCUACCAGUGAUCAACCCUUUGAGUCUGGCUUAGCUCAGGCAGAAAUUGUAGUCUGCAAAAGAAACUGAGAAGAAGAGGGCAAGGAGAGUGUGGCAUCCCAAGACAUAAAGACUCAAAUCAAUGAGAGCAAGCAACUCUGUCAAAUUUCACCAGAAGUGAGGACUAAAUAUUGACUACCGAAUUUUGCAAGAAAUUUUGUUAUAAAGAGAAAAUCCAUUUGGGAUUGCCCAGUGCACACAGUAGACAUGGAAAUUGAUGAUCAGCAUCCCCAGAAAGAUGAAGCAUUGGAAAGCACUGCAUAGCUCCAUGUUAUCAAUCAAUUAAUGUCUUCAGUCCUUUAAUGUCCUCUGGACAGCUGGGAUGCUUGGGAGAAGACUGUUGACAAGUCUUGUACGUGUGGAAGACACCAUUUUACUUACUUUCCCUUUAUUAUGGAAGGAACACAAGCCUAUCUUACAAAAAGAUACAUAGGACCCCGGAAGAACGAUUUUUAUUCUGAAUCUCAAUAAAAUAUUCUGUCACUUUG
rnacentral:lncRNA from 1 species